UACGAAGGGGGCUAGCGUUGCUCGGAAUGACUGGGCGUAAAGGGCGCGUAGGCGGUUUGUACAGUCAGAUGUGAAAUUCCCGGGCUUAACCUGGGGCUGCAUUUGAUACGUGCGAUCUGGAGUGAGGAAGAGGUCGUGGAAUUCCCAGUGUAGAGGUGAAAUUCGUAGAUAUUGGGAAGAACACCGGUGGCGAAGGCGGCGACCUGGUCCUUGACUGACGCUGAGGCGCGAAAGCGUGGGAGCAAACAGG
rnacentral:rRNA from 1 species